UUGAUUAUGAUCUUGAGAACAUAUUCAAAUAUGUUUGGAUUAAUUAAUCUUGAAUCAUUAGGAUUUGGUUAGGUGAUUGUGAUACUGAACCGAAUUUUACGCUGGAUUAUGAGAUUUAAGGUGGAUUUUGUUAGGCGAUUGUGUCUUGAGAAUAUAGUCAAAGAUGUUUGCUGGACUAUGAGAUUUUAGGUUUAGUAGAUGAGAAUGGUGAUUAUUAUAUUGGUGGAUAAAACAGAUCUUCAAUUUAGUUUGGAACAAUUUUUAGCCUAGUUUUACGAUGGAUUAUAAGGUUCUGAUUGGAUUUAGUCAUGUGAUUGUGAUUUUGACGAGGUAGUUAAAGAUGUUCGAUGAAUUAUGUGAAUUUAGGUCUAGUAGGUGAGCAUGCUGAUUAUUAUAUUAGUGGAUAAAUGAAUCUUUAAUAAAUUUGGAGCAAUUUUGAUUUAGUUAGACGAUUGUGACCUUGAACCAAAUUAUGUGGUGGGUAAUGAGAUUUUUAUGGACUAGUUAGUUGAUUCUGAUCUUAAGAAGAUAUUCAAAGAUGGUUGGAUUAAUUAAUCUUGAAUAAUUUGGAGUUAGUUAGGUGAUUGUGAUAUUGAACCGAAUUUUACGCCGGAUUAUGAGAUUUUAGGUGGAUUUAGUUAGGUGAUUGUGUCUUGAGAAUAGUCAAAGAUGUUUGCUGGACUAUGAGAUUUUAGGUUUAGUAGAUGAGGUGAUUAUUAUAUUGGUGGAUAAAACAGAUCUUUAAUUUAGUUUGGAACAAUUUUGAUUUAGUUAGGUGAUUGCUAUUUUUCAAACAAAUUCACGGUGGAUUUUGAGGUUUUGUUGGAUUUAGUUAGGUGAUUGUGAUCUCGACGAGUUACUCAAAGAUGUUUGGUGAAUUAUGUUUACUUAGGUAUAGUAAGUGAGCAUGGUGGUUAUUAUAUUGGUGGAUAAAUGGUCCUUUAGUAAACAUGGAGCAAUUUGGAUGUAGUUAGGCUAUUGUGAGCUUGAAUAAAUUUCAUAGUGGAUUACAAGAUUUUCAAUAGAUUUAGUUAGUAGAUUGUGAUUUUGGGGAGAUGUCAAAGAUGUUUGGUGGAUUAAUUAAUGUUAAACAAUUUGGAGUUCGUAGAUGAUUGCGAUAUUGAACCAGAUUUCUCUGUGAUUUAUGAGAUUUUAGUUGGGUUUAGUUAGGUGAUUGUGUCUUGAGAUGAUAAUUGAAGAUGUUUGGUGGAUUAUGGAUUUUAGGUCUUAUAACUGAGCAUGGCGAUUAUUAUAUUGAUGGACGAACAUAUAUUUAAUUUAGUCUGAAACGAUUUGGAUUUAGUUAGGUGAUUGUGAUUUUGACAUGCUAGUAAAAGAUGUUGGGUGGAUUAUGUGAAUUUAGGUCUAGUAGGUGAUCAUGUUGAUUAUUAUAUUGGUGGAUAGAGAUGAGGGCCACACAAGUGACUCAAGGCAAUGAUGCCACUACUGAAAAUAACUGGUAAACAAGGCAAAUGAGGAGAGAAUAGGGGUAGUGGCAGCAGAUGGACUUUGAUCCAGCAUCCCACGUGCAUGUGCACUCUCCGUUCCUCGUUGUCCGUUUUGGUGUUCUUGGCCUGUUUGCGGAUUUUGUGUCAUGCACUUGAUUAAGCAUCCCACGUUCUCUUAAUGUGCGCCCUUGGCCUUGACGAUAGGUAGCGCUGUUUUCUCGAGCGUGUCCCGUGGGUAAAAUUCAGGUAUGCGUCGAUUGUCUGUGCUCUUGCUCGCCAUUGGUGGUGCUUAAGCGUGCGGGCAUGGUGUCGCCCAGCAAGGGAACACGGGAUGUGGGAUCAAGACAACACACAUAACAACCCGUGACCAGGCAACGGACACCCGUCCGGACGUUCAGGGAGCGGAGGUGGACACAAAGAUGGAUGUUGAGCUCCAUAGCAGUCUCAAUAGUGUGCUCAUCAGUACGAGCGACACGAGCAAGAAGAUCCUGUAUAUACUCCUCUUAGGAAAUAAAGAAGGCAUUAGGGGUAGAGGAAACCUCAAUAUCAAGGAAGUAGCGACUUCUGUAGUAAACAUGGAGCAAUUUGGAUUUAGUUAGGCGAUUGUGAUCUUGAACAAAUUUCAUGGUGGAUUACGAGAUGUUUCAAUGCAUUUAGUUGAUUGUGAUAUUGAGGAGAUAGUCAAAGAUGUUCGGUAUAUUAAUUAAUCUUGAACAAUAUGGAUUUAGUUAUGUGAUUGUGAUAUUGAACCAAAUUUCUCUGUGAUUUAUGAGAUUUUAAUUGGAUUUAGUUAGGUGAUUGUGUCUUGAGAUGAUAAUCAAAAAUGUUUUGUGGAUCAUGAGAUUUUAGGUCUAGUAGAGGAGGAUGGUGAUUAUUGUAUUGGUGGAUAAAUAUAUAUUUAAAUUAAUUUGAAACAAUUUGAAUUGGUGAGGUGGUUGUGAUCUUUUAACCUAAUUUUACGAUGGAUUAUAAGGUUCUGGUUGGAUUUAGUCAGGUGAUUGUGAUUUUGACGAGGUAGUAAAAGAUGUUCGAUAAAUUAUGUGAAUUUAGGUCUAGUAGGUGAGCAUGUUGAUUAUAUUUUGGUGGAUAAAGGAAUCUUUAAUAAAUUUGGAACAAUUUGGAUUUAGUUAGGCGAUUGUGACCUUGAACCACAUUUUAUGGUGGAUUAUGAGAUUUUUAUGGAUUAGUUAGUUGAUUCUGAUCUUGAGAAGAUAUUCAAAGAUGGUUGGAUUAAUUAAUCUUGAAUCAUUAGGAUUUGGUUAGGUGAUUGUGAUACUGAACCGAAUUUUACGCUGGAUUAUGAGAUUUUAGGUGGAUUUAGUUAGGUGAUUGUGUCUUGAGAAUUUAGUUAGGCGAUUGUGACCUUGAACCACAUUUUAUGGUGGAUUAUGAGAUUUUUAUGGAUUAGUUAGUUGAUUAUGAUCUUGAGAACAUAUUCAAAUAUGUUUGGAUUAAUUAAUCUUGAAUCAUUAGGAUUUGGUUAGGUGAUUGUGAUACUGAACCGAAUUUUACGCUGGAUUAUGAGAUUUAAGGUGGAUUUUGUUAGGUGAUUGUGUCUUGAGAAUAUAGUCAAAGAUGUUUGCUGGACUAUGAGAUUUUAGGUUUAGUAGACGAGAAUGGUGAUUAUUAUUUUGGUGGAUAAAACAGAUCUUCAAUUUAGUUUGGAACAUUUUGAUUUUAGUUAGUUGAUUAUGAUCUUGAGAACAUAUUCAAAUAUGUUUGGAUUAAUUAAUCUUGAAUCAUUAGGAUUUGGUUAGGUGAUUGUGAUACUGAACCGAAAUUUACGCUGGAUUAUGAGAUUUAAGGUGGAUUUUUGUUAGGUGAUUGUGUCUUGAGAAUAUAGUCAAAGAUGUUUGCUGGACUAUGAGAUUUUAGGUUUAGUAGAUGAGAAUGGUGAUUAUUAUAUUGGUGGAUAAAACAGAUCUUCAAUUUAGUUUGGAACAAUUUUUAGCCUAGUUUUACGAUGGAUUAUAAGGUUCUGGUUGGAUUUAGUCACGUGAUUGUGAGUUUGACGAGGUAGUUAAAGAUGUUCGAUGAAUUAUGUGAAUUUAGGUCUAGUAGGUGAGCAUGCUGAUUAUUAUAUUAGUGGAUAAAUGAAUCUUUAAUAAAUUUGGAGCAAUUUGAAUUUAGUUAGACGAUUGUGACCUUGAACCAAAUUAUAUGGUGGAUAAUGAGAUUUUUAUGGACUAGUUAGUUGAUUCUGAUCUUGAGAAGAUAUUCAAAGAUGGUUGGAUUAAUUAAUCUUGAAUAAUUUGGAGUUAGUUAGGUGAUUGUGAUAUUGAACCGAAUUUUACGCCGGAUUAUGAGAUUUUAGGUGGAUUUAGUUAGGUGAUUGUGUCUUGAGAAUAGUCAAAGAUGUUUGCUGGACUAUGAGAUUUUAGGUUUAGUAGAUGAGAAUGGUGAUUAUUAUAUUGGUGGAUAAAACCGAUCUUUAAUUUAGUUUGGAACAAUUUUGAUUUAGUUAGGUGAUUGCUAUUUUUCAAACAAAUUCACGGUGGAUUUUGAGGUUUUGUUGGAUUUAGUUAGGUGAUUGUGAUCUCGACGAGUUAGUCAAAGAUGUUUGGUGAAUUAUGUUUACUUAGGUAUAGUAAGUGAGCAUGGUAGUUAUUAUAUUGGUGGAUAAGUGGUCCUUUAGUAAACAUGGAGCAAUUUGGAUGUAGUUAGGCUAUUGUGAUCUUGAAUAAAUUUCAUAGUGGAUUACAGGAUUUUCAAUAGAUUUAGUUAGUAGAUUGUGAUCUUGGGGAGAUGUCAAAGAUGUUUGGUGGAUUAAUUAAUCUUUAACAAUUUGGAGUUGGUAGAUGAUUGCGAUAUUGAACCAAAUGUCUCUGUGAUCUUGAACAAAUUUCAUGGUGGAUUACGAGAUUUUUCAAUGGAUUUAGUUGAUUGUGAUCUUGAGGAGAUAGUCAAAGAUGUUCGGUGUAUUAAUUAAUCUUGAACAAUAUGGAUUUAGUUAUGUGAUUGUGAUAUUGAACCAAAUUUCUCUGUGAUUUAUGAGAUAUUAGUUGGAUUUAGUUAGGUGAUUGUGUCUUGAGAUGAUAAUCAAACAUGUUUUGUGGAUCAUGAGAUUUUAGGUCUAGUAGAGGAGGAUGGUGAUUAUUGUAUUGGUGGAUAGAUAGAUGUUUAAAUUAGUUUGAAACAAUUUGAAUUGGUCAGGUGAUUGUGAUCUUUUAACCUAAUUUUACGAUGGAUUAUAAGGUUCUGAUUGGAUUUAGUCAGGUGAUUGUGAUUUUGAGGAGGUUGGAAAAGAUGUUCGAUGAAUUAUGUGAAUUUAGGUCUAGUAGGUGAGCAUGUUGAUUAUAUAUUGGUGGAUAAAUGAAUUUUUAAUAAAUUUGGAAUAAUUUGGAUUUAGUUAGGUGAUUGUAACCUUGAACCACAUUUUAUGGUGGAUUAUGAGAUUUUUAUGGAUUAGUUAGUUGAUUCUGAUCUUGAGAACAUAUUCAAAUAUGUUUGGAUUAAUUAAUCUUGAAUCAUUUGGAUUUGGUUAGGUGAUUGUGAUACUGAACCGAAUUUUACGCUGGAUUAUGAGAUUUAAUGUAGAUUUAGUUAGGUGAUUGUGUCUUGAGAAUAUAGUCUAAGAUGUUUGCUGGACUAUGAGAUUUUUGGUUUAGUAGAUGAGAAUGGUGAUUAUUAUAUUGAUGGAUAAACAGAUCUUUAAUUUAGUUUGGAACAAUUUUGAUUUAGUUAGGUGAUUGCUAUUUUUCAAACAAAUCCAAGGUGGAUUUUGAGGUUUUGUUGGAUUUAGUUAGGUGAUUGUGAUCUUGACUUGUUAGUCAAAGAUGUUUGGUGAAUUUUGUUAAACUUAGGUCUAGUAAGUGAGCGUGGUGGUUAUUAUAUUGGUGGAUAAAUGGUCCUUUAGUAAACAUGGAGUAAUUUGGUUGUAGUUAGGCUAUUAUGAUCUUGAAUAAAUUUCAUUGUGGAUUACAAGAUUUUCAAUAGAUUUAGUUAGUAGAUUGUGAUCUUGGGGAGAUGUCAAAAAUGUUUGGUGGAUUAAUUAAUCUUAAACAAUUUAGAGUUGGUAGAUGAUUGCGAUAUUGAACCAAAUUUCUCUGUGAUUUAUGAGAUUUUAGUUGGAUUUAAUUAGGUGAUUGUGUCUUGAGAUGAUAAUCAAAGAUGUUUGGUGGAUUAUGGAUUUUAGGUCUAAUAACUGAGCAUGGCGGUUAUUAUAUUGGAGGAUGUACAUAUAUUUAAUUUAGUUUGAAAUGAUUUGGAUUUAGUUUGGUGAUUGUGAUCUUUUAACCUAAUUUUACGGUGGAUUAUAAGGUUUUGGUUGGAUUUGGUUAGCUGAUUGUGAUUUUGACAAGCUAGUAAAAGAUGUUUGGUGAAUUAUGUGAAUUUAGGUCUUGUAGGUGAGCAUGUUGAUUAUUGUAUUGCUGGAUAAAUAAUUAUUUAAUAAACUUGGAAAAUUUUGGAUUUAGUUAGGCGAUUGUCAUUUUGAACCAAAUUUUAUGCUGGAGUAUGAGAUUUUUGAUGGAUUAGUUAGUUGAUUGUGAUCUUGAAGAGAUAGUCAAAGAUGUUCGGUGUAUUAAUUAAUCUUGAACAAUUUGGAUUUAGUUAGGUGAUUGUGAUAUUGAACCAAAUUUGUCUGUGAUUUAUGAGAUGUUAGUUGGAUUUAGUUAGGAGAUUGUGUCUUGAGAAGAUAGUCAAAGAUGUUUGGUGGAUUAUGAGAUUUUAGGUCUAAUAGAUGAGCAUGGUGAUUAUUAUUUUUAUGGAAAUGAAUCUUUAAUAAAUUUGGAACAAUUUGGUUUUAGUUAGUCGACUGUGAUCUUUAACCAAAAUUUAUGGUGGAUUAUGAGAUUUAGUUUGGCUCCGCUCCUGCUGGUUGUGCACAAUGGUGACUCCACGCAUCUCCUGCGCCCCACAACCCUCUCCUUCCUGGCACAGGAGGAGCAGGAGCAAGGAUGCCGAGGCGGUUCAGGUUUGCCUCCACCUCCGCUCUCCUCCCUGCUCUCACUCUUGUCUCCCUUUUUUUCUCAUUCUGCAGCUUCAUUCAAGCAUAUAUUUUAAAUUGCUAGGUAUUCCAGGUAGUUAGCUUAUCUAUGGACUACACCUACAUUUGAUGUUAGAAUUCUGAUACUAAUUUAUGUUCUUGUUGCAUAGAUGAAUGGUGCUUUAGCUUCAAUGACCAGUUUUAUUGCUAAAUAUUUUUCCCAUUGAAAGUGUCAAAGAAUAUACAACUUGGUAUGGAGAAGUUUUCUUAUGGGGAAUUAAAGAUUCUUGUAUGCAGAACUAUUUGGGCUCCCGCAGCUGUAUCAGUUGGUUUUAGUUCUCAGAUUUUUACUUUGCUUUUUUUGGCAAAAAAUUGGAUGUAUGAAUCUGAGAUCUGGACCUCAAGUUAACUGCUUUUCUUUUCAUCUGCAGUCGCGAGGAAGAGUAGGAAGAUCAGGCAGAGAGGGUUUUACAUACCUCUUCCACACUGACAAGUCUUUGCUUUUCAGGAUUGCCAUGGCGUGCUGCUGUUGUAAUGCUUUCAUUUUCUGUUGUUUUGUCACUUUGUUAAACUUUGUUCUCUUAUUCUGAUGCUAUGGUUUGUGAUGGCUGGAUGAGAUUUGUGGUGAAAAGUCUCCUUUAUUUUGUUUACCUACAGAUCUUGAAUGCACGAUUGAUAAUUUUGCUGGAUAGGUUAGAAAUCUAAAUAAUAGACAUUUUAAAGGAUGUAGUUGGUACACAUGGAAAGCCAAGAAAAAUAUAUAGCUUACUUACAGUGUUGUUUGAUCCAUCGCUCUGCGGCAGGCUCACUGAUGGACUUGAAGUAUGACUAAUCUUGGACUGCAUUUAUUGCCUGUUGUUGGUCUGCUUCUUUUAUUCUAUAUUUAGGGGGUUCUAAGCUAUUGAAUUAGGAAGCAUAUAGUUUAUCCAUUUACUUUUGAGACCCUCUUCAGUCUGUUGGCUACUGCAGGGAGCUUUGGAUGGUGGUCUUGGUAUUCCACACAGUGACAAGAGAUUUGCUGGCUUCAAGAAGGAUAAGAAGCACCCGGGCGCUGAGAUUCACCGCAAAUACAUCUAUGAAGGUCAUGUUGCUGACUACAUGAAGGUGAGUUGGAUCCAUUGCCCUCGUGGUAUUAUAAUGCCAUUUCUUCAUUCCCUAGGGCUGUCGUUGUUGUAUACAUGAAUUCUUUCUGGAAGAUAUAUCUGGGCCCGAUUCACCCAUAUAAAGUAUCCUAAAGCAAGUGUACUUUCUUCUUAUUUCUGAAGCAGCUUACUGAAUCUCGUUUUAACUUCUGCCCUACCCAUAUUUCAGUCAAUAGCUGAUGAGGAACCUGUAAUGCCCAGACGGAUCUCGAUCUGGAAUUGGGGAUGAGGAAGAGAGAAGAGAGUAGGUGAGAGACGUAGAGAAGGGGAAAGAAGGUUCAAUCAAUCACACGCCGCCUUUCUCCUUAGUGUUUCGUACAUAAGUAGCCGCCCCUUCCUGGGCUUACCCUUACAUGGCCUCCGGCCCACACCACAUACGGGCCCCAAGCCCACACACACACUAGCGUUGCAGUUCAGCUAACUGACUGCACUAGUUCAGUCCGCCACUGAUGCAUCAGUAGGCGCGACAUUGUCCUCCCCUUGAGAUGAAGCUCCUUCCCAGAUGCAGGCUGAUGGAUAGCGUUGGCGAAGAACGGUGUAAUCUUCCCAAGUGGUGGCUGAAGUUGGCAUGUUUGCCCACUGGACACGGAGUUGCACACGCCGCCUUUCUCCUUAGUGUUUCGUACAUAAGUAGCCGCCCCUUCCUGGGCUUACCCUUACAUGGCCUCCGGCCCACACCACAUACGGGCCCCAAGCCCACACACACACUAGCGUUGCAGUUCAGCUAACUGACUGCACUAGUUCAGUCCGCCACUGAUGCAUCAGUAGGCGCGACAGAACCUAAGAAGUACCAAUCUCACUUCAGUGAGUACAUCAGGAAGAAUAUUGCGGCCGAUGACAAGGAAGCACUGUACAAGAAGGUUCAUGCUGCCAUUUGUGCUUAUCCUACCAUGGCAAGAUCAACUAAGGAACCUCCAAAGACGCACAAGAAUUGGAUAUAUCUUGCUGUUUAUUAAAGUCAAACAACUGAUAAUGAAGUUUAUCAAUAUAUAGUAAUGGGUAUAAAUGUUUCUCAUACUCAUGUAGUCCGUUCAUUCCUAAACUAUAUGUUCUUCUUUUGUUAAAGCCUUAAAAUAUUGAAACAAUUCCUUACUUAACACUAUCUUAAAUUUCGUUUCCUUAUUUGACACUGAAAAACUUUUUCUUCCUUAUGUAACAACGAGUCUAAAUUUUAUGCCUUUUAUAACACUUUUGUCUAUUUUGAGCCUAAAUGACAACUGAAAAGAUCCUUUUGCCCCUCAUGUGGUAUGUGUGUGUGCGGGGCAAUAACACACGCACGCAACAUCAGUGCGAGGGCAGUAGCACACACAACACACACACAGCAGCACGCACACACGAAGCACAUACACACACACACACGCAACACACUCACAGGUAGCAGCACACACGCACGCAUCAACAACACACACACACGCAGCAACACACACAGCGAAGUAAUAUACAUCCAGUAUUGUAGUAAGUUCUUUCAAAAUUAUAUCAUACAUGAUUUUCUCCUUCAUAAACUCCGCCACACCAGAAAAAUAUUCCUGCCUCCGCCACUGCACGCACCACGCAUGCACACAACAGCAUGCACGUACACACGCAGUAGCAAACUCACACACAGCAGCACACGCGCGCGUGCACACACACACACAUAUGCAGCAGUAGCACAUACAUACGCGCACACAAACACACGCAACAUCACAGGCACGCGCACACAAACAUACCACAUGAGGGCAAAAUGGUCAUUUCAGGUGUCAUUUAGGCUUAAAAUGGACAUAAGUGUUAUAAAAGGCAUAAAAUUUAGACUCCUUGUUAGAUAGGGAACAAAUUAUUUGUCAAUGUCAAAUAGGGCAUAAAUUUUAGACACGGUGUUAAAUAAGGAAUUCUCUCUAAAAUAUUAAGAUGUUACGGUAAAUAAAUUCCUUCAGAAUCAAUAAUAGAAAAGUUCUGCUAUGCAAUAAGAUACAGUUGUAUGCAAAAAAUAAUCUUGUAUUAUAUAGUUAUAUAUCAAAACUAUGGAUUUUCUAUGCACUUCCUGCGAUCAUUAAUGUUCAUUGUCUUUGUUUGGAUUUUGUUGGGCACCUGCGGCAAGCGGUGUCAGACACGACGGACGCUGCCAGGUCCGCGUCAACAUCGUGCUCACAGAGCCUGGCCGCUGCGUUGUGUUCUCCAUUUUGCAGUGCAUGGUGAACUACACAGCAAAGUUCAGCUGCAGUUCCUCUAUUUUCUUCCUACUAAGAGCCCUGACGAUUUGUACUACUUGGCUGCAAAUUUGUGCCGUUUGCAUCACCAUACGGAUAGUGGUUUGUUCUUCCGGCAUUAUUCAUGGUUCUCAUCAUAGCCAUACUGAAUGAUGCAGGUGGCAUACCUGAAUUUAUCAUAUGAAUUAUGACUUUAUGAGCUUGCUUGGCUACUGACCUGCUGUUUUGGAAGGGCGUCCUUUUACCAGAGCUAUGGAUUUUAUUAUGCCCCAUUUCCUUCAGGGCCUGGUCACAGAUGGCAUUUUUUCUGGGUUGUGGUGAAAUACUUUUGUUCUUUUUUGGAAAACAUGUGCUCUAACUCAAGUGAGAGUGUAAACAAGUAUUUCAACUCAACUCCAGGCAAUAGUUGCCAUUUAGGGGGCGUUGACCCACCGUGGAUGUUGGUCGCUGCAUGCCUGCGCUGUUCUUUGCUCUGCUGCGUGGAGCGCUUGUGUUGCCAGCCUACAAUUGGUGUCGGGACUUUCGUUCGGUUCUGCUUGGCGGCGGUGAUUUCCUUCGGUUCUGCUGGGCCCUUCUAUCUAGCGGCCCCUAGAAGGGAGCACGGGUGACGCCAUCUCGUCUGGUGCUGAAGCUCCCAAACAGCUCACCUCGUGGCAGCAAGAUUUGAUUUUUGCAGUAGUACAAAAUUCAUACCUGCCGCAUCACCAAUAUGAGUACUCCAGGAAAAUGAGUCAGUCAAAAUAUGCAAGUAUGUGCACCCAGUUUGUUCAAGCCCCUUGCUCAGAAGUUGGUCUGGAGAUGCAAGAAUACAGGUAAACUGCAUAUAUAACUGCAUUUUUACGCAGAACUGAAAUCUCACAGAAACUACACUAAACUGGAUUGAGAUUAUUGAAAAAUGUUAAUUAAAUGUUAAAUGGAUAACUUUGUGAUAAUCUACACCAUAUCUUUAUGGACUAGGACCAAUCAAAACAACAUGCAGGAAUUGUUCAUCCUCAUGGAACCAAAAAACCAUCCAUCCACUUUCACUGCAAGUCAACACUGUACUGAGCUUUCCCUGUCCAUACACUUCCGAAACAGAAUGCCAGAUUGUUAAAUACUGACCAAGAUAACGAUAUUUAGAAACAAAUCACCUCACCCUCACCUCUUUCUGAUUAGUUUUUUGCUGCUGAACUAUUGCUGUCGGCUGUCGGAGUGCCUUUGCUGCUUGGGGUUCUUGCUUAACUUCCGCCUGCUGUGGAUGCCGCUUUGUGCUCGAGUUCUUGCUUAACUUCCGCCUGCUGUGGAUGCCGCUUUGUGUUUGGGUCUUUCCUUCUUGCUGCUGGUGUCGCUGUCUUUUUGUUGGCCAGGGGCAUGAUAUCUGGGGCAGCAGCCAAUCCUCCACGGGUGAAGUGAAGGUUUAUGUUUGUCACAAUUUCCAAUAUUAGCAUAGUAUGUAUUUGCAUGUUGCAAAGAUCUCAGUAUGAGGAGAUUUAGAUUCAUUCAACUCAACCAUUGACAGGCAGGGAGACAACAAAGGGGGCAGUAUAAUUGCAUCCCAUUAUUAUUUUUCUCUUUAUUAGAUGGCAUAUUGUUAUUUGUUCUAUAUAUACUUAACGUCCCCGUAUGGCUGCUUUUGAGAAAAAACCCGUAUUACCAUGUAUCCGUGUUUCUUAGUUCUUAUUCAUCCUAAGUUUUAGCA